UAGGGGGUGGGUUGACUUCCCCGGGCGUGCAGUGAGGCUGUUUGAAGUCCUCAGGUUUAUGGGAAACUAGUGAGGAAGGAAUUAUGGGAAAAGAGAUGAGAUGGGCGGGCCUAUCUUUCCGCAAUAUUUUUAAGCCGGGGCUGCUAGGAGGCGGGAUUUCUAGCUGGUGGCGCCUGUGGUGCUAGGUCUGUGCAAUAGCUUAGAAUGAACGUGUUAUCAAGUUAUUAUUUAUCAUGCAACCACCCAUGAUAUGAACCCGUUUCUUUCAAAUCCUGCCUUCCUAAAAUUUUCUAGAAGUUUUAGAAACUGCCGCGAACUUUAGACAAGGAAGUAGUUAUUGUCCCAUCACUUAAGGUUGCUUUUGAUGGUCAUGUUGGAGUCAAUUUUCCUGUUUUUUUAACAUGUGCUCCGAUAACGUUUUUUUAAUGUGUCCACAGUCUUUGGAUGUUCUUUGUGGUCACUGGUUAAUGUAUACGCUUUUAGGCUAAGAAAAGCAUAUUGAUUUAAUGAUGAUGAGUGAUAUAAAAUAGCAUCUGAGCCAUCAUUUUAACCAUUUUAAUCUCUUCUUUUAGCUUUCUAUUGCGGAGCCAGAGGACAGUUUAAAGAGAAAGUUUUUCGGGGUAUGGUGGCUCCAAUGUAUAAUCCAGGUAUUCUACAAACCACUGUAGGGAGGUGUUGAAUUCGAGAACAACCUGGACUUCAUAGUGAGCCUGCCAUGAACCUGAAUGGUAGCAUUGGCUUGCAAUCUCAACACUUCAGAAAUGGGGGUAUAAAGUACAGUAGUUCAGGGUCAUCCUUGGCUACACAGUGAGUUUGAGGCCAGCCUGGGAUACAGGACACCCUGUCUCAAAAUAAGACACAUGAAAUAAAAUAGUAAGUAAGAAUGCGACUAAUAAUUGAGCUAAAAUCAAAAUGCUUAAACCAGUAUCAAUUUUUCAGACCUCAGUAUCGGUCUCUUUCCUCUCUCAACUAAUGGUUGAGAAAUUUCUAGAAUAUUUGAUGAAAAGGUGAAACCAAGUUUGCCUUAAAAGUUAGGCUAGAAAAAAAAACAAAGCAUUAGGAUAAAGUCUAGUCAUAUAAAGUAGUGAACCUCCUACCCAAGUGUUUAAACUUUCACCAUUAAAGGGCAGCCACAAGUUAAUUGUGAAGACAGUGGAGUGUGUGUGUGUGUGUGUGUGUGUGUGUGUGUGUGUUAUGAGUUUGAGAGGAAUUUGUUUAGAGGCAUGGGUCAGAGUUCAUAGGGCACUUGCUGAAGUUUUCAGGUUCAUGUGUCUCAGAAGGAAUUGAAGCAGAGACAAAUGGAUAGUGAUAGAAAUACAGACUGUUUAGGAAGAGAAGGGGAAGACACUUUCCAAAGUGGGGGUGGGCUACAGAGCUAGGACAGGUUCCCCAGUCUCUUUAUAUGCUCAUGUACAUGCUCUGAUUUUUACAUGCAGCCUACAGUGACUGUGUGUGUGUGUGGGGGGGAACUCCAGGGUUCCAGUUAAAUGAAAAAAAAAUGAAAUAAAAGGAGAACAUGACUACUUCUAAUGGAAGCCCAGAUCCGAGGAAGAAGAUGUGUAGGGUAGGGUCAGGGUGAGAAGUACUGGGAGGAGUCAAAGGUACUGAGGGAUGCUGGGAGAGCUGGCCAGUAUCCACUUUGAUAUGUAAAUAAGCACCUCAGCCGUUUGUCAGGGUUUCUGAAACAUAACACCAGUCUUCUUCUGCUAUUAGUUUAUUUUACCUGUGAUCUUGAGUCUCUUUCUCCUUGUCCUACUCUCCUGCUACAAAAUAACAAACAUUUAUCAUUCUUGUCAUUUCCUCGGAAAUGGUAACAUUGUGUUUGUUCCAUACCCUUAAUGAAAUAGAAGAUACUUUUCUAAACUUGAAUGUCAUUUUCUUCUCUGCCUUCCCAGAGGCUCUCAUUUUCUUCAUACCUGUCUUUCCAGUUCAUCAGUGUAUGUUGCUUCAGUCACUAAAACACAAGCAACGGUUUUACAACUUCAUUUCAGGCCUGGUAUGAUGGUGCACCCUUUAGUCCCCACACUAGGGAGGCAAAGGGCUUGUGUAUUUCUGUGUGUUAAAUGCUACUAUGGUCUACACAGUCAGUUCUAGGACAAUCAGAGCUAUAUAAUGAGACUCUGUCUCAAAAAAAAAAAAAAAAAGUAAUUUGGAGGCCAACAUCAGGCAACAUAGAUCCACAUAAAACCUGAAAAAGCAUUUAAAAGAAGUUCCAAACACACAAAAAUGGAGUUAAACACAGCAUCUUGGUAACCACCUUUUCUCAGAACAAAGGGACCAAACACCAAUGAAAAUGGAUGGCCCAAAUGAUCCAACAUCUCAGAAUGCCUAUGUUGCAGUUUGUAAAUUCUACAUCCAGAACAGCUUCAAGGCUCCUGGCUGAGAUAAUUUAGCCUCACAAAAUGCUCCAUUCAAUACAUAACAAUUACCCUGAUUUUUCUCAACGUUCUCCAAAAGAUACCAGUGCCCACAGACAACAGGAAGUAGUCUAGAGAAGGACAUCCACAUUCCCAAGAGUGAGAUAUAUCAGCUCCUGACAGCACCAAUUUACUUCAAAAGAGGAUGAUGAACAU